rnacentral:rRNA from 1 species
ACGCUCGACACCUACGGGAGGGCAGCAGUGGGGAAUAUUGCACAAUGGGGGAAACCCUGAUGCAGCGACGCCGCGUGAGUGAAGAAGUAUUUCGGUAUGUAAAGCUCUAUCAGCAGGGAAGAAAAUGACGGUACCUGACUAAGAAGCCCCGGCUAACUACGUGCCAACAGCCGCGGUAAUCUGAGCGGGCUGGCAAGGC